rnacentral:rRNA from 1 species
UACGUAGGUGGCGAGCGUUGUCCGGAUUUACUGGGCGUAAAGCGCGCGCAGGCGGAUUGGUCAGUCCGGGGUGAAAUCUCACGGCUCAACUGUGAGCGGUCCCCGGAUACUGCCAGUCUUGAGGUGUCUAGAGGAGAGCGGAAUUCCCGGUGUAGUGGUGGAAUGCGUAGAUAUCGGGAAGAACACCAGUGGCGAAAGCGGCUCUCUGGGGAUCACCUGACGCUGAGGCGCGAAAGCGUGGGGAGCGAACCGG